rnacentral:lncRNA from 1 species
ACCUGUAUAGGCAAUAUGUGUGUGGCUUUUUUUAUCAGUUACCAGAUGCAUUCUGAUAUUCAGCUGUAAGGAAUUGAGAGAGGAUUAUUCCAAUUCCUCUUUCUACAGCAUUUUUGUAUAGUAAGUAGUACAGUUUUCAGUACACACCUUAAAUAAGGAUAGUGUUCCCCAUUCUUUAUAUAUUCUGGAUACAAGUCUUCUGUUAGAUAUGUGACUUGCAAAUAUCUUUUCUCACUCUAUUGCUUAUCUUCUUAUUUUUAUAGUGCCUUUUGAAGAACAGAAAUUUUUAAUUUUAAUGAAGUCCUGUUUUAUAAAUCAGGCUUUUGGUGUCGUAUCUAAGAAAUAUUUUUCUAAUUCAAGGUCACAAAGCUUUUGUUCUACAUUUUUCUCAAAUUUUUAUAUAUUUAGCUCUCAUAUUUAGUUUUAUGAUCUAGGUUGAGUUAAUUUUUAGAUAUCACUCAAGGUAUAGAUCAACAUUCAUAUUUUAUUUUUGGAUGUGGAUAACCACUGGUUCCAGGACCAUUUAUUGAAAAGAUUAACUUUUUCCCACUGAAUUGUCUUUGUACUUUUGUUGAAAAUCAAUUGA